rnacentral:rRNA from 1 species
AUGAGCCGGAGCUCCCGGUUCGAGCUCGUGGCGGCGUUCUGGCUGGCCCGCACGGCGGCGCUCGGGUACGGCGCCGACGAGGAAGUGUGGCUGUCCUUCAUCGUGAACGCGCGCGGCCGCCGCGAUGUGCCGCUUCUGGAGGGCUUCUACGGGAACGCGUUCGCCUACUCCGUGGCGGCGACCACGGCCGGGGAGCUGUGCGCGGGUGGGCUGGGCUACGCGCUGGAGCUGGUGAAGAAGGCCAAGUCGGCCGUGACGUACGACUACCUGUUGUCGGUGGCGGACCUGAUGGUGCUCCGGGGGCGGCCGCUGUUCACGCUGUCACGGGCGUACAUCGUGUCGGACGUGAGCCACACCGGGUUCAAGAGCGUGGACUUCGGGUGGGGCGAGGCGGUGUACGGCGGGCCGGCCAAGGGCGGCGAGGGGCUGAUCCCCGCCGUAACCAACUACUUCUCCAGGUCCAAGAACGGCAAGGGGGAAGAGGGCACCGUGGUGCCCAUCAGCCUGCCCAAGGACGCCAUGGACAAGUUCCAGCUCGAGGUCGAAGGCCUCACCGCCGAGAUCUAA